rnacentral:rRNA from 1 species
UACGUAGGGUGCAAGCGUUAUCCGGAAUCACUGGGCGUAAAGCGUGCGUAGGCGGGCAUUUAAGUGAGUUGUUAAAUCGUGUGGCUCAACCAUAUCGAUGCAAUUCAUACUGGGUUCCUAGAGGAAGGCAGAGGCAAGUGGAAUUUGUAGUGUAGCAGUGAAAUGCGUAGAUAUUACAAGGAACACCAAUGGCGAAGGCAGCUUGCUGGGCCUUUUCUGACGCUGAGGUACGAAAGCGUGGGGAGCGAACAGG